UGAUUGUUACUUUUUGAAGCAAGUCAUAAAAUUUUAUCACUGUUGAAUUGAAAUGACUUACAGUAUGCAACCUGUACAGCUAUUUCGUAGAAGAUGUACAAGAUAUGGGUAAUCAUUUUAAGUUUUGUUUUAUCUACUUUAUUAUGGUGAUGUGUGUGUAUAUAUAUAUACAUAAUAUUAUUUUAAAUAUUGCCUUACCCCACAAAAUUUACUUUUCCUUAUAUUAGAAACAACCUGUAUUCCUUAUAUUGGAAAACUGUAAACAGUGAAAAAUACUCUCCCCCCGUUUAUUUUUGCUCCAUUUGCCCUCAUUGUCAGCGGUUGAAUUUAAGAUUUGGAAAAUUCCUAUGUCUCAAACUGUCUCUCUUUAUGCACAACUUUGUCUAGGCGAAUUCAAGACAGGGUGAAGCCGUUUGUAAGUGAAAAAAGUGAAAAUAACACAGGGGCGAAAAUAUCCCUGUUUACAGUAAUCUUUAAAAUGUUUUUGUUUUAACUGCUGGUGUAUAAUAAUGACUUCUGAAAAUUUAGGUGCCUGGCUAUAAAAUAGAAUUCCCCUUUUUUAUUCAUGAGGAAGAUUGACAUAUUUUCAAUUAUUUUUUUUUUUAUUUUUUUCUUUUGUCUAUUUGCUUUUAUUAAUUACCUGGAUUGGAAGUUUGGGUUGGGUGUAUUUUCCUAGUCGCAUAAAUCAGCAGGAUUGUUAUCAUACAUUUAUGAUGUUACAUUUACAUUGCACAUGAACUAUACUACCAGUGUUUCCAUAUUUAAGAAGUUCUAUAACCGGUGAUAUAUAAAUUCAUUUCCAAAUCAAAACAGUUAUAAUUAAGGGUAAAAAAGUGUAAGAAGUAUUUUUUCAUUUAAUAUUUUUUUUUAAUUUCCUGUUCUGUUUUAGUUUAGUCCCAUAUUGAUUCAGUUUUAAUCAAUUUUUAUUUCAAGAGUGAUAUAUGAAAUAGAAAUACUCUGUAAACAUGCAUGAUAUUGUAGGUAAUUUAAUGUAGACAUAUGCAAUUAGACAAUGAUAAUAAAUAAAAUAUGCUGUAAAUUUUGUGAUCUUUGAAAGUCAAGAAAUGAGUUAUGCAUAUUGUAGUCAAGCUAUGCUAUGUAUCUUACAAAAGUUGUUUACAUCUACCUGCGAUGUGAAUUUUAUAAAAAUGUUUUACUGUACUUCUAAAUGUAGUAUAUACAUUUUGUAUACAUGUAUGCAUAUUCAAAAGUUGUAAAACAAGGUCUGUAGCAAUAAACAUUGUCAGUUUGAAGUAUAUUGUGAGCAUUCUGUAGAUUUGUCAGAAACUCAUUCAGUCACAUCAGAAAGCCAGUCUAUUUUAACAACAAUGCUAGAACUGUUUUGUUUCAGCAACCAUGUAUUUUUCUGUUGCAUGUUACCAAUAUGUUGGGUGUAUUGUUGCUCAAAUUAUCAAUAAAAAAUAAC
rnacentral:sRNA from 1 species